GAUGAACGCUGGCGGCGUGCCUAAUACAUGCAAGUCGAGCGAACGGACGAGAAGCUUGCUUCUCUGAUGUUAGCGGCGGUCGGGUGAGUAACACGUGGAUAACCUACCUAUAAGACUGGGAUAACUUCGGGAAACCGGAGCUAAUACCGGAUAAUAUUUUGAACCGCAUGGUUCAAAAGUGAAAGACGGUCUUGCUGUCACUUAUAGAUGGAUCCGCGCUGCAUUAGCUAGUUGGUAAGGUAACGGCUUACCAAGGCAACGAUGCAUAGCCGACCUGAGAGGGUGACCGGCCACACUGGAACUGAGACACGGUCCAGACUCCUACGGGAGGUAGCAGUAGGGAAUCUUCCGCAAUGGGCGAAAGCCUGACGGAGCAACGCCGCGUGAGUGAUGAAGGUCUUCGGAUCGUAAAACUCUGUUAUUAGGGAAGAACAUAUGUGUAAGUAACUGUGCACAUCUUGACGGUACCUAAUCAGAAGGCCACGGCUAACUACGUG
rnacentral:rRNA from 1 species